rnacentral:rRNA from 1 species
AGAGUUUGAUUCUGGCUCAGGAUGAACGCUAGCUACAGGCUUAACACAUGCAAGUCGAGGGGCAGCAUGGGAUUAGCUUGCUAAUCCUGAUGGCGACCGGCGCACGGGUGAGUAACGCGUAUCCAACCUUCCCCUUACUCAGGGAUAGCCCGGUGAAAACCGGAUUAACACCUGAUAGUUUCACUAGAUGGCAUCUGACGGUGAAUAAAGGCUUACGGUAAGGGAUGGGGAUGCGUCUGAUUAGCUUGUUGGCGGGGUAACGGCCCACCAAGGCAACGAUCAGUAGGGGUUCUGAGAGGAAGGUCCCCCACAUUGGAACUGAGACACGGUCCAAACUCCUACGGGAGGCAGCAGUGAGGAAUAUUGGUCAAUGGGCGAGAGCCUGAACCAGCCAAGUAAGCGUGCAGGAUGACGGCCCUAUGGGUUGUAAACUGCUUUUGUACGGGAAUAAAGUGACCUACGUGUAGGUUUUUGCAUGUACCGUAAGAAUAAGGACCGGCUAAUUCCGUGCCAGCCGCAGC